AGAGACUUUAAUUUUUUUUUUUAAUUGCUAAAACAAUGUAAUCCAUCUUGCCUCCUAGCCAUCAGAUCACUGUUAUUACACCGUUAUCACAGAUUAUCAAUGCGAGCUAGCUGCCCACGGCUGCUUUUCCUGCUAACGAUGGCGGGUAACCUACUCAGAAUCAAAAUGGAUUUGGCCGAAAACCUCAACCACCACCUCUUAAAAACACUGAGAUCCCAGGACGUAUCUGUGAACUAGUGGAAGUGAAAUGUCUUUUUCAUGGGUACAUUUAUUGUUUUUUGGUCAGACCUUCUCUCUGCAACAAACUCUUAUUACGUAUCUGCAAUCCGUGUUGGCCCCCAUUCUUUGUAAGGUUUGCUCAACGUUUGACUAUGUAACAUUUUGGUUGUAUCCUUGGAUUGUUUGUGAUCUGCAGUAAUUCCUA